UACGAGGGGGGCAAAUGUUGUUCGGAAUCACUGGGCGUAAAGGGGGCGUAGGCGGGUUUCUAAGUCAGGUGUUUAAUCCCGGGGCCCAACCCCGGACAGGCACUUGAAACUGGGAAUCUUGAAUAGUGGAGAGGUCAGUGGAAUUGGGGGUGUAGCGGUGGAAUGCGUAGAGAUCCCCAAGAACACCAGUUGCGAAGGCGGCUGACUGGACACAUAUUGACGCUGAGGCUCGAAAGCAUGGGGAGCAAACAGGG
rnacentral:rRNA from 1 species